AGUGAACGCUGGCGGUAGGCCUAACACAUGCAAGUCGAACGGCAGCACAGUAAGAGCUUGCUCUUACGGGUGGCGAGUGGCGGACGGGUGAGGAAUACAUCGGAAUCUACUUUUUCGUGGGGGAUAACGUAGGGAAUCUUACGCUAAUACCGCAUACGACCUACGGGUGAAAGCAGGGGAUCUUCGGACCUUGCGCGAUUGAAUGAGCCGAUGUCGGAUUAGCUAGUUGGCGGGGUAAAGGCCCACCAAGGCGACGAUCCGUAGCUGGUCUGAGAGGAUGAUCAGCCACACUGGAACUGAGACACGGUCCAGACUCCUACGGGAGGCAGCAGUGGGGAAUAUUGGACAAUGGGCGCAAGCCUGAUCCAGCCAUACCGCGUGGGUGAAGAAGGCCUUCGGGUUGUAAAGCCCUUUUGUUGGGAAAGAAAAGCAGCAGGUUAAUACCCCGCUGUCCUGACGGUACCCAAAGAAUAAGCACCGGCUAACUUCGUG
rnacentral:rRNA from 1 species